GAAUUGAUCUUGUGUGCAUCAUCAUAUCCCAAUUACACAUGCAUCUUGGAAGCUGGUGCCGACUGAGUUGAAAGAAAAAGUAUACAAUAUGAUUGAGUGUUCUUUACAAGUAGGUACGGUUGAAUGUGGAUAUUAUGACAUGAGAUACAUGCAAGAAAUUGUGACUAAGGACACAAACAUUAUCACUGGUGCGAUUGAUACAAGAAGCCCAUACACACAGCUUGAAUUGGAUAGACGAGGGGAGUGGGCUGGAUUUUUAGCUCGGUACAUAUGAUAGACACACCUAGAUAUGAUCAUGUUAAUUUUGUAAAUGGCUAAGAUAUGGGAAUGCUCAUAACCUUUUUUGUGGAAACGUUUUGUUCAUAGCCAUUAUGAGGGCAAAAGAUAUAUGGGGAUAGGCUUCAAUUUUGAUUAUAUAAGACAACUAUUAUCAUUUAAUAUUUUGGAAUAG